GUGAGGAAUAUUGGUCAAUGGGCGAGAGCCUGAACCAGCCAAGUCGCGUGAAGGAAGAAGGAUCUAUGGUUCGUAAACUUCUUUUGCAGGGGAAUAAAGUGCGGGACGUGUCCUGUUUUGUAUGUACCCUGAGAAUAAGGAUCGGCUAACUCCGUGCCAGCAGCCGCGGUAAUACGGAGGAUCCGAGCGUUAUCCGGAUUUAUUGGGUUUAAAGGGUGCGUAGGUGGUUUGAUAAGUCAGCGAUGAAAGUUUGCAGCUUAACUGUAAAAAUGCCGUUGAAACUGUCGGACUUGAGUGUAAAUGAGGUAGGCGGAAUGCGUGGUGUAGCGGUGAAAUGCAUAGAUAUCACGCAGAACUCCGAUUGCGAAGGCAGCUUACUAAGCUACAACUGACACUGAAGCACGAAAGCGUGGGGAUCAAACAGGAUUAGAAACCCGUGUAGUCC
rnacentral:rRNA from 1 species